UCAGGGAGAUUAAGGGAUUACUAAAUCUCUUCUUUUUAUUUAAUUAUAUUUUAAACUGUAAUCCCUCAUACAAAUUAUGCAGAUCCCUUUGGAAUAGGUUUAGAAAGGAAACUGAGAGGUCAGGACUCUAUUUGACAGGUUGAGUUAAUCUCCAGGUUUUUAUGUAAAUUGAGAUUAAGCUAAAUUAUUUUCACCAUACCUUAAAAUAACUAAUUUCCUCACCAAAAAGAGUACGGAUUUAAGCUAGCAGUCUUUUGGUUCUGAGUCUGUGAUGCCUUUGAUUUGAACAUACGGAGACUGUACUUAACACCUGUGCCGAAAUUCUUGCAAACACGGAGGGAUUUGAGACCAAAUGUCAGCCCCAAGUUUGAUAUUUAUUGGCUUUAGUUACUCUUUCUCAUAACCUUCUCUCAACCUUCAAGCACUCUGAGACUAUUAUGUUUGUGCAAGUGUCAGUGAAAAUGCCAUUACAUGGUGAUAGAAGGAUUUGAGCAAUUGUAGUAACUUGUUCCAGUUCUAGAAUUUUAUGCUUUCCUUUGUCACGUGUUCUAGACCACUGAUUCCUAUCCUUAAUAUAUUAUAUUGAUUCUUUUGUUUUCAUCUUUAUUCUUUCAUUAUCUUAUGUGAAUUUAGGGUCAUUUUAUGAAAGCAUUUUCUUAGGUGACAGCACAUUUAACUUUUAGCAUAGCAAUACUUUUGUGGUAUCCUCAUUUCACUGCACAUAUUAGCAUUCGUGCAGUUAAAUUCUCUUCUAGUAUUUCCUGAGACCACACUUUAGUAGUAGAAACAGAACAAUGUGAAAUGACUAAUACAUGAAUAUUGAGGCAUUUUACAUUAGGUUGCCUAAGGUAAGACAUUUCUUAGCAUAAUAAUACACUGAAGAAAUGUAUGUCUCAUCUUAUUCCACAGACUUGAAAUUGCUACUAUAUACAGGUUUGGAAAUAAUGAUAUAGUUGGUGAAGGGGAUGUGGAAUAGAAUUAACAGCAUCAAGGACUGAAAUAGAAUACACUGAUUUCAUUUUUGUGAGAUGUAAAAAGGGAAUAUUUAUACCAAAGGAGUAUGUAUAGAUACAUUCUAAUUCAUUUUUGGUCCUUUUUCAUAAUUGUGGAUCAGGACUGAUAAGCAUACUAGGCAGUGUCCAAGGUCAUUUAGCUGUGAGACACUAAAGGAACUAAGGGAAGAGAUCAGGUAGGUGUUGAAUCUAAUAUUGUAGCCCAGCGCACAAAUGCUUGUCUGAACUUGUUCCCUACAGGAAUUCAAUAAACCUCUUACUGGUUGAAAUAUGGAACCACAAUAUUCUCAUCUCUAAUGUUGGAAUAAAAAAGCCUACCCAUAGGAUGGGGGAAAUGGAUGAUUUACUUAAAAUAUGUGAAAGAGUUUAAUGAAAAGGCAAAUAAAAGUUUUUAUGGAUUUAGAAUUCUAGUUCUAGACUAGAGCUUACUCGCUUAUGGUUUCAAAACAGGCUUAAAACGAGAGAAAGUGUCUACAUGUGUUACUCAAUAUGCGACACCACGAGGUGACUCUUGUGAAUGUCUUGGAAGCUAUGGGAAAGAAGAGGGUCAUGCAGCAAAGCUGACUCUGGGGAGCACGCUGUGGUGGGACAGGAAGACUGAACGCAGGCACGCUGCCACCCAUCGCCUGGUACAGGAGUCAGAAUGCAUUGCCCCUUUGCUCGAUUGCAACAUCUGUUUUCCACUUGAACUUCUUUUGAAAGCAAGCCACACAUCAUCCCAGUGAAGUUAUGAGUUCACUGGUCGGCUAGCAGUGCUGCUGCUGUAUCUCAUUGCCAGCAUAUGGUCUGUGAAUAAGUAUGCCUCAAGGGUCCAAUCUGAUUGAAGGUCCUGUAAAAUUGGAUGUUCUUCCUCUGACCACCACUGAUGUUCCAACUUCCUUGCCAGAAACAGAACUAACAAAAUCAGGGGCUGGUGGCGGGCUCCUCCAGUAAACAGGGAAUCUCCCCAAAUGUUUAGGAUAAUGGCUGUUCCCCUUCCUUAUACUGGAAUUUAUGAUGGAGAAGAACAUGUGCUGUACUACACCCUGAAUUUCAUGGACACAUGCAGUCCCAGCACCGGAGUUACAAUUCAGACUUUUGGUUGUCUUCAUAUGCUUUGGAAACAGUGAAGCCGGAGGAGGUGGAACAGAGAAUGGAAAGGAGAAAGGAAGAAAAUACUUGGCUUAUAAUCUUCUAGAGAGAGAUGUCACUUCAGGCUCUUGAGAACACAAAGAAUGGUUUUCACGAUGACACCUAUUGAGUGAGAGGCAUCAGCACUCCACAGUGAGCAGCAGUGGUAUUGGUCAACACCCAAGGUGAUCCUCAGACAACUCUGCAGCAAAAAUCAUGUAGCUGUUGACUAAACCAGUAGGUGGCGCUGCUACUCCAUGUGUUACCUCUGAGGACCCCGCGUGAGUAAGAAGUUGCAUUUCCAAUGUAAUGGCGAAGUAUUUUAAAGAUGCGGGCGUACGGGUCUGCUACAAAGAGUAGCCCCCUUUUGUGUCAGUCAGAAGCAAGUGUCUCUUCGAAGUGGCUUAGCUCAUUUGACCUUGGAAACCGAGGAUUUAGCUCUACCAAAGAGAAUGAAAAUCAGAGGGAGAUUUGGAAGGACCAGAGCCUUCGAUUCCCUCAUAGAGGAACAGAGAAAUAAGGUUAGUGGUCUGGAGACAGCAAACAAGAAACAGCAUAGCUAGAGAUAUUAGCCCCCGAGAGCCCCGAGGUUAAUGUGGAUGAUAAGAGCCGCAAACCCUACUACAUACUAAUUUGGUUUGUUAACUUAUUACAUCCUUGAGAGGAUAUUUUUCCCCCCUUGGACUAGAUGAAGAAUUCCCCUGAGCAGCAGAGGUUUUUGUACCAGGAGAUUAAGUAGCAUAGAAAAUUACAGCCCUGCAUUUGUGCUGUUGGAGUUAAGGCAAUGUCAGCAUUCCUAUUUUAAGCCAUUAUUUUCAAGGAUGUGAGCUUGCCUGGGACUUACGGAUUCAGACCGGGGAUCACACAUGCACACCCAGUGGUGUAGUAGGUCGGGGCAUCACUGUACCAAGACCUCUGCAGAAGGGACGGGGCACUGGAGUUGGCUUUUAUUAUUAUUCCAAAAAGACAACGGACAUUUAAAAAUCUACUGCCCAAAUGUGAAAUGAUUUUUUCUUUCUUUUAAAAAUGCUGCAAGAUUUGUAGCACAAAGACUUAAUGCCACGCAGGACAACCAAGUUGACAAAAUGCACUUUUAUCAGCUUUUAUUGAUUGCUCAGGCCAAUGGUCUGGGAAUCAAGACCCGUAAGCCGUAGGUCUCCAUGGAGCUAUAAUGGCCCCAAAGGGUAUCUGCAUAAUAAAUACAUAAUUUCAACACUGGCUAGCAGACAGACAUCAACAGCACCCUGAAAGGCCAUCUGCCUGAGGCAUAUGAUAAUGUGGCCAGAAUGCCUGGCACACAGAACUUCUAUCUUCUAAAUGUGCUCCUUGCAGUCAUAUGGCAGGGAGGAAAGGUCGUGAACAUGUGUGGAAGUUCCCGUAUAGCCCAGACCCUCUAUGGUCUUCUCCCCACAGCGCCUCUUACAGGAACCUAUGUGUGACAGCAAUUAUUGAUCGUACUUGAGAGAUGAAAAACAGGGUCUUCAUCACAUGAAGCCUUCUUCUUGGGCACUAGGUUGGUAAGUGCCUACCUAAUACAAGAGUUUAGCCUUGUUCAGAGGGAAGCCCACGACAGUUCCACUUGAACGGGCAUCUCUUCCUACAAAGUGACUUCAUUCAUUUCCAGCACCUAUUUGUGUCUGACCCUGCUUCAAGGUCGCCUCAUCUAUAGAGAGAGGGCCGCACCUGUCUUUCAGGGUUGCAGAAAUGACUCAGUGUGGAGGUUAAUACAGAGAGGGUACACCAGGAUGCUGAGGCCGUUACCGCUUUGAUGUUUGUCACAGAAUGGGAAACAGAGCCACAGUGGCAAUGAACAACCACACCUUCCGGUGGUUCAGGCACGUGCGCCACAGAUGCGCUGCUCUCCUUAGACGCAUGAGGUGUAAGAGUGGAGUGCAUACAUUGAUUUUCUAGCCAAUAAGCAGACAGAGACCAAGAAAGAAAACAGGCGUGGAAAAUUGUGUGUCGAUACUUAGAGAAACAAGGUGAUUGCAGUAAUUGAGCGGAGCCAAAAGAAGUCACACAUGUAAUUAUAAGCUCUUCUUGGCGGUAUCCGUGAAGAUCUUCACUUCCUGGUUUUGAAAUGUCCUGGGUGGGAGUUGGUAGACAAGAACCUUCCUCUCAGAUCAACAGGAUUCAUGUUAGGAAAUUAUCGUACAUGCAUAGAAGUCCCUCUAAGGAACAAAAAGUGGACUAAAAGUUUUAACAAGAAGCACAUUUGUAGUAAUGGCCCGGCCUUUCACAAGGCCCAGUGGCUUCUUGUGGGUGUCAUGGUACCUAAAGGUCCCUUGCUCUUUCGUGUCACGAAGAAGGGGAAAGGAAGGCAUCAGUCUGAAAGGAGAAAACCUUUGCCUGGGAAAAUGAGAGGCAGAGGGCAGGAGGCGGUGGGGAGGAAGGGUGAAAUACAGAGAGUGAAUUUGAGAAUGAGUCAGAGAAAGAAUUUAAAUAUGUGCACCACACACACACACACACACACACACACACACACACACACACACACACACCUGCCCUAACCCAUGCGCCCCAGAAGGCUUAGAGAGAGGGAUCCCUGAGGAACUGCUUUGUGCUUGAGGAGAGCCCAAGUGCUCCUGCACUCUUAGUGGAAAGGAUGGGACUGAUUUGGGCAUGGCAUUUUUCCAUAUUCGGCAGGAGGGGAAUGACAGUCUGGUCACCUAGGCAGCCAGAGGUAGAGCAAGCUUUGCACGGGCCCCCAAACCUUGUUUUCACUGUGCUGCAGAGUUCAAUAGCUGCAUCACUGUCCGAGGUUAGUUGUGACAGUAAAACUAGACAAGAAUGUAUAUGUAAAACCCUUUCAACACAGACUUGUAGAUAAUGCAUGCUUGGAACUGUUAGUUUAUCUUUACCCACUCAUUAAGCAGUAAGAACGGAUGCAGACUAAUGCCUCCCAGUUAAUUACCAAGCCAGACUUCAGACUUUUGUUCUUAGGGAGACGAAGCAUUCUUUUUCUUUAAUAGGAGAAAAACUUUAAUUUUAUGAAAUAGCCUCUAAGAGACCCUAAGAUGCUGCUGAGAAUUGAGUAGUUCUCAGUUUCAUUACAAAUGAAAACAAUAGGAACUGCUGGCCGAGGCAGGGUAAUCAAUUACAGGUGACUGUCAGGAGUGGUAUUUACUGGGAAGCAAUCUGGAAGCACAGCAAUAUUGAAACCCAGUGUGAAUUGCAUUGCUCCUUAAUGCCUCUGGCCCUCUGGAUCCACACAGAUGUGUGCAGAUGUGGGUAUGGGCUUCUUUAAGCGACUCUAUUCUACCUCCCGAGGGAUUUCGACUCAUCUCCAUCCGGUGCAGGUUGUCGCCAGUACAGUGUGUGUCUUAGGAGCGGGUGGCAGACAGCGAGGCUGGGGAUAGGGAGGCAACCCCUGUUGAUGCACAGGGGACACACUGCAGCUAAGUGGAACUGUGCAAAUUAACACCAUCUGGGUUAAUAAGGCCGGUGUUGACAGAGUUUAGAAUUGCUUCCUCAAUUAAAGAGCCGAGGGAAAUCUAUAUGUUUGGGUCUCAAUGAGGACACGCCAAAUAGUGAUAAAGAGUCUUUGUUUUGCUAAAAAUAAAGAACCCAGGGCUUCACUUCACACAUUUUAAAAGGAAGGGGAUGGUGUGAAAUAACUGGAACCGUGGACCUCACUGGGUCUUCAUAGCAGCAGGCUGUUUGCGGAAUAGCCAGGCCACUGUUGCUUUGGUAGACUUACACAAGCCUUGGCACACUCUUCUCCUAGGAGGGAAGACACUCGUUUCCUUACCCCCAGUGCUCUGUGCCUGCCCUGUGUUCAUUUUCUGUUCUAUGAUCACUAUUGUUACAUUUUACAGAGCUGAAUGUCGAGGCACAGAACAAAAGAUCAAGAUCCGCAUUGUCAUGGCCAGUGAGUGGUGGCUUAUAGAAGGGUGUGCGUCUGUGCUCACCCCCAGGCAUGCAGGGCUCUAGAUUUUAAAGUUGGGCUCAGUGGCUUUCCACUGACUAGGUACCAUCACGACAGCAGUAGAGCAUGGUGUUCAGCACGAAUUACAGGCAUUUCAUCUCACAAACCUGGCUAGGACUAGCCUAGUCUUCUUUCUCCUUACUGCUAAUUCUCUGACAGAAAAGUCACUUGAUUUUAUUUGAUUAAGUUUCAGAAAUAAAUAUCAACAUUUACUUCACCUGGAAUGUUCUUUCUUUGCAUUCGAGGUGAAGUCCUAGUCCUCCUUGGAGUCAUCUUCCUGAGGUGACUCUCAUCUGAGAGCAUCUUCAGUAUCUGUGACAUGUCCUUAGAGGAGGCCUUAGACUCCUGGCAGCCUUUUGAAAUUGGCUGUUCACAUCUUUUUUGUGAAGAGGAAGGUUCUGGAAUUGCUUCACUUGAUGGGACACAUCACUUCCUUCUUCAUCUGCCUUGUCUUUGUUUUCUCUACUUCUGCAUCCACGAAUCAGGAGCUGGAGUGUACUCAGGUGUCUAGGGCUUUACAGACUCUCAGGAUCUGUGUGUAAAUUUGACGAGUGUUGCUUCCACAUGUGUCUGAAAACAAGGCCUACGACUUAAAUCAGAUUCUCAAAGAGGUCGUAUGUCUCCUGGAGAAGUUAGGUUACAUGGCACUGUGGUGGUCUGAAAGAAAAUGGCCCCCAAAGGGAGUGGCAGUCCUAGGAGGUGUGGCCUUGUUGGAAGAAGUGUGUCACUGUGGGGGUGAGCUUUGAGCUCGGUGUGACAGCCUACUUCCUGCUGCCUCUGAGUUGAGAUGCAGGACUCUUAGCUGUAGCACCACAUCUGCCUGCACGCCGCCAUGCUCCCCGUCCUGAUGAUAAUGGACUGAACCUCUGAAACCGUAAGG